CGAAACCUGCCCAGCAGAACGACCCGUGAACAUGUGAUGCCCCCAGGUUGCGCCGGACGGUCGACGGUCGUCGAAAGCCGCCCCUGCCCGGAAAAAAAUGAACCCCCGACGCGGACCGCGCCAAGGAAAACGAACAAUGGAUCGGGCGCCCCGAGAGGACGCGCCCCCCGAAAUCUCAA
rnacentral:rRNA from 1 species